rnacentral:rRNA from 1 species
UACGGAGGGGGGCUAGCGUUGUUCGGAAUUACUGGGCGUAAAGCGCACGUAGGCGGCUUUGUAAGUUAGAGGUGAAAGCCCAGGGCUUAACCCUGGAAUUGCCUUUAAGACUGCAUCGCUAGAAUCGUGGAGAGGUGAGUGGAAUUCCGAGUGUAGAGGUGAAAUUCGUAGAUAUUCGGAAGAACACCAGUGGCGAAGGCGACUUACUGGACACAUAUUGACGCUGAGGUGCGAAAGCGUGGGGAGCAAACAGG